rnacentral:rRNA from 1 species
GAUGAACGCUGGCGGCGUGCUUAACACAUGCAAGUCGAGCGAAAAGACGAGGAGUUUGUUCCUUGCUCGUGUGGGGCGCGGGGGUGUGAAACGUGUGGAAACCGCCCUUAAAUGUCGGGGAAAAUUUGGGAAAUCGGGCGCAAAUCCGGGAGAAUAUAUUGAACCGCAUGGUGCAUUAGAAAAUGACGGUUUUGCUGUCAGUUAUAGAUGGUUCUCGGCGGCAUUGGCUGGUUGUUAAGGUAACGGCUUACCACGGCAAGGAGGCGUAGCCGACCUGAGGGGGGGAUCGGCGACACUGGAGCUGAGACGCGGUCCAGACUCCUACGGGAGGCAGCAGUAGGGAAUCGUCCGCAAUGGGCGAAAGUUUGACGGAGCAACGCCGCGUGAGUGAUGAAGGUCUUCGGAUCGUAAAACUCUGUUAUGAGGGAAGAACAAAUGUGUAAGUAACUAUGCACGUCUUGACGGUACCUGAUCAGAAAGCAACGGCUAACUACGUG